rnacentral:rRNA from 1 species
GACGAACGCUGGCGGCGUGCUUAACACAUGCAAGUCGAACGAUGAUCAGGAGCUUGCUCCUGUGAUUAGUGGCGAACGGGUGAGUAACACGUGAGUAACCUGCCCCUGACUCUGGGAUAAGCGUUGUAAACGACGUCUACUACUGGAUAUGAUCACUGGCCGCAUGGUCUGGUGGUGGAAAGAUUUUUUGGUUGGGGAUGGACUCGCGGCCUAUCAGCUUGUUGGUGAGGUAAUGGCUCACCAAGGCGACGACGGGUAGCCGGCCUGAGAGGGUGACCGGCCACACUGGGACUGAGACACGGCCCAGACUCCUACGGGAGGCAGCAGUGGGGAAUAUUGCACAAUGGGCGAAAGCCUGAUGCAGCAACGCCGCGUGAGGGAUGACGGCCUUCGGGUUGUAAACCUCUUUUAGUAGGGAAGAAGCGAAAGUGACGGUACCUGCAGAAAAAGCACCGGCUAACUACGUG